CAAUUUCAUGAGAAGCUGUAUUUAACAACAAGAAAAACAUGUUCUUACCUUCUACAAAUUAUAAACAGAUUUUUGUCUCCCCCCUCGGGAUGCUCAGUCCCUCAGUUGGUGUCUAAAAAACUAACAGCUACUAGAACACUUCUACCAAUGAGGUAACCUUAAGGAUUCCACCUAGAAUGUUCUAGAACACUUCUAUCAAUGAGGUCACCUUAAGGGUUCCACCUAGAAUGUUCUAGAACAUGUCUGUCAAUGAGGUCACCUCAAGGGAUUUCCAGAUCAAGCUAGCACCUUUUAAUAUACUUCAUUAACAUCAACUUCUUAAAACAUACAUUUUUCAAACCAUCUUUACUCAAUUCUAAUCUUAAUACAACCUAAUUUAUUACUCCAGUUAUAUCUUAAUAAUUCAAUAUUUUAAACAUUAUAACAUUUGACCAUUAUAACGUCUCGUUAUCAACCUCCUAAGGCCUUGUCCUCUAAGCAGAAUGAAACACAGUCUAUAUGAUUCACAACUUAAAGAAAACUACAUUAUAACUCUCCUCACCUGCAUUAUUUUAACACCUUUAAUAUCUCCCAACGUUUUCAACCUUUAACAUUUAAUAUGUUUAACCUUUAAUUAGUAUUUCAAUAAAUUCCAGUCCCAAUUCAUUUCUUCUUCUCUUUAUCAGUGUCAAUUCAUUUCUUCUUCUCUUUAGUCAGUGUCAAUUCAUUUCUUCUUCUCUUUCGUCAGUGUCAAUUCAUUUCUUCUUCUCUUUCGUCAGUGUCAAUUCAUUUCUUCUUCUCUUUAGUCAGUGUCAAUUCAUUUCUUCUCUUUAGUCAGUGUCAAUUCAUUUCUUCUUCUCUUUAGUCAGUGUCAAUUCAUUUCUUCUUCACUUUAGUCAGUGUCAAUUCAUUUCUUCUUCUCUUUAGUCAG
ensembl:lncRNA